AUGGCCAUAAAAAGAAAUGACAAAAGAAGAAAAGAUACACAGAACGAUACCACAACAACCGCUAAAUAAAUGAAAAUAAUUUAUUCCUUCAAAGUGAUCGUCACAAAGCCAAUUAUUUUUACGUAGCCUGUAGAGUAAAAAUAAUUGGGAAAGGUCUGUACAUAUCAUCCAGCAAAUACAUGUCAAUCGAAGCUGUCGUUUGCCAUUGUUGCAUGCCUUUCCAAGCAACCAAAUACCUGACAGAAAAAUAAACAAAACAUAUGGAAACAAAAGAGAAAUAUGUCAAAUAUGCAAAAUUAAGGCAAUUUUCAAGAACAUACUACAAUAUAAGAGUUUGUUGCGGUUGACGUUGUAAAACAUAUGUAAGUAGAUGCUGAAAUAUAAUAUUUGUUUUGGUCGUAGAUGCUUCUUUGCCUGUACAUCGCCUAUUGGUAAUCGAAUGUGUGUGCAAUAAAUGUCCAAUUUUGUCUGCUUAUGAUGUUUAUGGCCGUCCACCGAAAUAAUCUAACAUAAAUCUAAUAAGAUGCCUGCUAUCUGUGACCAUAUAAAAAGACAUGUGUGUAUGUUGUGCUGUGUGGGUAAUAAAUACUUGGAUGGAAUAUGAAAAAGGGACUCAAUGGAUGUGCAUAUCGUUGCCGGCGCAGGUAAACAUUUGUGAUGACACCUUCGGCAUGUUUUCCUAUCUUCCACAUAAAUAUCGCCAAUAAUGAAUGCUGAAUAAAAGAAGAACAGUCAUCCAUAUGUAUCCAUUUAUGAAAGAUAAGUCAAUUUGUAAAUUUCGUCUUGUAUACCAAAUACUAAUUAUUUUCUUUAAUUACAGGUAUCUUUUCAAUGUAUCAAAUUUUACUAAAGUCGUUUCUCUUUCUCUACUAUAGGUAUUUUAUGGACUACUGGUACAAUAACAACAAAGAAUGUGAUUCGCUCAAAGGCCACUAUAUGACCCAAUGACUCGAUGAUGGAAUACCGAUAUGAUAUGUGAUACAGGUAUUUUCUAAACAAGGCUGAAAUUUCGUAACUGGUCUGGUCAGAAUUUGGCAAUUCCGAAAUCCGAAUACAAUCUCUACAAUAUUUCGCGAUAAUAUUUUUAAAUUUUCUAAAUUUAUAUAGAAUUUAAAUAUCAUAGAAAAAUUAGGUAAAUAAUUUUAUAUA